GCCGCCAUCCCUCGCGUCCUUCCCUUCGUUCCCAACUCUGUGUGUACGCGGUGUGCGGAAAACUGCGGAGUAAAGUCGAUCUCUCGCGAUCGCGAGGCGACGGGCACUCCGACCGUCGUCGCCGCCGCCGUCGUCGUCGUGCUCGUCGCUGCAACGAUGCGCGGUUUUAUCGCGCGGCAUCAUUACGUGCGCGCUGUACCAACUCAAGAGGAUGACGGCAUGCUAUACGACGAUAUGGCGUAGGGAACGUUCGUUAAAGGCGAAUAUCGAAAAAUAAGAAUGCGGCCGACGCCGCGCGUCGAAGAUGCACCGGCGCGGGCUCGUCGAAGCGGACGCGCUUGAAAAUUAUUUCGCGUCGCUGUCGUUUUUCAGCGCCGUCUACGUUUUAGCCAGGUUCGUUCUCUUAAAAGCGAGCGCGCCGUUAAGUGGUGUUCGUUAAAGCGAAAUAUCGAAAAAUGUGCGCUUCACGACCCCGCCGUUAGCGAUCGAGAUUUGCCGAACUUCAUUCGAUUAGAUCGAAUCUCUUCCUGUGAUGUUGGGAUACAUUAGAUUCACUUUUCAAUUUCGAGUGAAAAUAUUUAUUCAACGAUUUAGGAAAAGUAGCUGGAAAGAGUAUUCUGCAGAAUAUUUAUUCACUAUGAGUGAACAAUCGAUUGAAUUUGAGUGAGCCGAUUAUCAUUCUAUUUUUCGAGUGAAAUUCUAUCCUAAAAAAUUUUAAGUGUACAUUUCAUGCAAAAGACGGAGGAACGUGCGAAGAAAUGAAAACGAAGUUAGAUGCCGUCUAUGGGAACCCUUCACCAUCUAUGACAAUCGUCAAAUGCUGGUUCAAAUAUUCAUCUAUUUUUGAUGAGGAGCGUCCAGGCCGUCCGGCGGACGUGGUUACCGAGGAAAUCAUUGAAAAGCUCUGCUCGGUGAAUACCAAGGAGCGUGUUAUUAUCCCCGAGGAGAGUUCUUUUCGUCGACGGAUACAAAGAAUACUCAGGCGAUAUCGGGGCAUCGAAGGGCCAGAAAUUUCUUACAUAUGUAUGCGCGCCAGCUUUCCCGCCUAGCAACAAUUUAAUCAGCGCGCACCAAUUUCAUCAACCCUUCCGCGAUAUGGCGGGGCCGGUACCUCAGGAACGCGGUACACGCGCGGAUGGCGGAGGUAAAUGGCGAGCGUAGUGGCGGCGGAUAUGGCGAAGGACUAAACGGGGAUUCGCCGCAACAAUUUCGUUAAUGCCUCGUUCGCUCCGUUCGUCGAAAAGUACGCCACCGUCACCGCUAUCGCUAUCACAGCCGCCACCGAUUCUUUAUCGCGCUCCUGCGCUCCUAUCUCGGAAAACGGCAGCAGAACUUUUCAAACGUCAUGUUUAUCGUCACGUCCCAUCGCGGACAUAUGAGCACGCGCGCACGCUCGUGCGUGUGUAAGUAGAUAGGUAGGUAGCUAGAUACGCGCCUAUACAUGCGUGCCUGUGUCCGUGUGUACCCUCUUCGUUCCGCCCCAAUACCGAUCCGAUACACGUAUCACGGCUGCCUUCGCUAGAAACUUUCCAGAGAUGGUGCGUGUGCCCAUUAUCUGCGCCCAUUAUGAUCGACGAAUCCGGAUUUUCGGUACUAGUGCGUUCUCUCUAGAACGGCCGAUAAGCUUUUGGGGAAAAACGAAAGGAGAGAUCUCCGCCGAAUGGAACACACGCCGACGUGAAAUUAUCCAUCCUUUCGUCUCAACGACAGACUGAUCAGUCGACGUGGUACGGUGCGUCGCGUUAACGCGAAUGUGUUAUCGAGAAACAGUGAGACGGGAUUAACGACUUUUCCGAUGUGUAGACACAUUGAAUGGGAAAUGCGCCUCCUUUCGGAGGCUUCCUUUCUCCCUUCCCGCCACCACGAAAGCGACGGCUCUGCUAAACACAUACGCGCGUCCAUAAACGUAAGUAGCGCGAAGCUUACUAAUUAGCAUGUGAUUAAUGACGCGGUUGUAGGGAUAAAUUGCUCUCUCUCUCUCUCUCUCUCUCAUAAUGGUUAUAAUGUUGUCGAAGGCGACACGAUAAACGCGCGUGAAAACGGAAAGAUGCCGGUAUAUGCUACAUCAUCGACGUCGUUCACAGAAAAUACGAGAAAGCGCGGCGAGAAGGAGGAGAGGGGGCAGACUUGUGUUUGGGAAGUUCGACUCGUGAAUUCCGCUGGAGCGCGAGAGGUCACUGUAUCGAGAGGUCGUUAUCAGCUUUAAUGAUCUCGCAAGCUAUCCGAUACAUCGAUAGUCUUUCUUUUCUUCCCCUUUUACUACCCCCUCUCCCCUUCCUCUCUUCUUUUUUUUUCUUUCUCUGGAAGUGUCAUGGAGUUGCGCUGUGCACCUUCACGAUGUACCAAGAAUUUCUCGCUACUCUAAACGUUUCGUGUUUCUAAUGAACACAAACCCAUCUUUAUCCCCGCUCCAUCUCUCUCCUCCCUUCCUCACACACACAUUUUUCAUGUUUCAUUUUUCACACUGCGCUUUUUCAUCGCGUUUUAUUUCAUAUACCUCUAAUCGAUCUAUCCUGUCUUUCCUCAACGGGUUUUGUAAAUGAUUUUACCGCGCAUUUCUUGUUUCGAAAAACCGUUCUAGCUGCUUCAUCGAAAACGCAGGCGUCUACAAUACCUAUCCAACUAUCUCACAUUACCCUCCCACUUAGUACCCUUCGCACUCCUCGUCUAACGCGAUUUACAUUCCGGCUGUGAUUGCCGAUGUUCGGCUCGUUUGCUGUUCGAAGUCGCGGAACGCCGCUGCGUUUUAACUCGGUGAACGGCGAUCGCUCGAUCGCAUGUCCACUUUCGCGACCGAUUACCAUCGACGCGCGCGCAGAAAGACUUCUUUUAUCUCGCGUCGCUUUUUACGAAGCCGUUAAAUGAAAUCUGAAAAUUAUGCGCGAUAAAGUCUGUUCUUCGACGAGCCGUUGAACCGAGAAUGAACGUGUGUGCGAGCAACGUAUUAUACACGAUCUGUCCCAAAAGUUUCCGAAUUUUCAUUAAAACAGACGCUGUAAAGUAAUAGAAAUUUUUACUUACAAUUAUUCCAAAUACAUCCCUUUCGGAGAAAUACAAUCUUUACAACGGUCGUACAGCUUUAGAAAACUCCGUUGAAAGUCUUCCUUUGGGAUGGUCGAAAUAGCCUGAAUGUCCAAAAUAAUGGCUCCCCCUUCAGUUUCGGGAACAAAAAUUAGUCGCAUAGUGCCAAAUCUGGUGAAUAUGGGGGAUGAUCAAGGACUAAGACCGAAAUUUGCACGCCGGCGGUGCACUUGCCGGAGCAUCGUCAUGCAGAAGCGACCAAGCUGCCUUGCACUUGGUAUCGAGGAUGAACCCGACCAAUUCUUGCCAGCUUCAUAACGCCCAAGUAAUAAGUCAAAAGUAGAUCACACUAAUCUUUUCUACGGUUUCGACCGUUCGGCCUCCCGCUGCGCUCGUCAUCUUCCAGCGAUUCUCUACCGUCCCGGAAUUUCACGAACCACUCGUAAACUGAUGUAAGGGGAUAGUGCUUUGUCCCUAUAAGCCUCCUGUAACAUUGCUAAUGUUUCUGUGAACGUUUCGCCCAAUUUCACACAAAAUUUGAUAUUUGCCCCAUCCGUGAUUUCUCGGUGAGCGUCACACGCGGUUACGUCGGUUUUAUACUUGUGGUAAAACAACCGUGGGAGGGACCUUAAUUCAACUUACAGAAUUUGUGAACAAAAAUAGUGCAAUCUUAUUUGUAUAGAUGGCGCCACUAAUACCGUCCGUAGGAAGAAAAUUCGAAAACUUUUGGGACAGACCGUGUAUUUAUUUCUUAUGCCCGCGACUCGCAUUAUUGCAAAACAGAAAAAAUGAGGUCGAUACACAGUGUGUAUUACUUUGACGUUACGUAAAGGCGAGUCGCUCGCGCGCACGCACACACAUCAUGGGAGGUAAACAAUCUAUAAUAAGGCGACUCUGCUUUCCUUAAUUAGACGAAUACUUGAAAAUAAAUCACUUCAUGAGUGACAGGCUCCAAUUAUAAUUACACUUGGCGUGCGGCGCACAACCUCGAACGUCAAUACGGUUCAUCAUGACAUCAGCGUUACUUCCUUCUGGCUUAUAUAUUUAGAUGGAAUAAAAAGAGUACGCGCGCGAGAGACCAUCGCGGUGACGCAAGAAUAUCCAUAUCGGCGCGCGCGAAUUCCCGGGACGCACGCUGCGCUUAAAACUUAUCCACGCCACCAUGAAAAAUGUAUCUUUGUGGAAAGUCAACGUAGUGUAAAGAGGAGAGACUGAAAAAAAGAGAAAGAUAGAGAGAGAGAGAGAGAGAGAGAUCGCGGUAAUCCUUUUGGGUGUCCUUCCACCCCUUGUCUCUCCUUUUCUUCGCUUCCUUCCUCUCCUUCUUCUCCAAGGAUCUCCUUUGCCGCCAAAAACCACACCCACAAUGCCGCGCGUUCAACGUUAUACCGCACGUCCGACCACCCUGCCGGUUCCUGAAAAAUUUCGCAACCCUGCCUCGCUUCACCUCGUUUCGUCUCACAUCGCCUCGCCUUCCGGCCACCCUCCCUCUCUCUCUCUCUCUCGAUAACCUAGGUUAAAGCCAUUUCCCAGCUAGCGCUUCGCCCGGUCCCUCGUAUAUCCCACGAAAGCGCGAUUCUCUCCAGCGAAGCGGCACAACCAGCGGAGGCAAGCCAGUGGCAGGUAGGCAGGCAGGCAGGCAGGCAGGUAGGCAACGCAGGCAGGCAACGCGGGACUUUUGGGACGCGUUGUACAUGGGUCGCAUCGCAUCGUAGGUUCGCGAUGGGUUGGAUACAUGAGGGAGAGGACGCGGGUAGGAGGUGGUAGCAAGGGGAGACGAGGGCGCGAGAGUGAGCGAGCGAAUGAACGAGCGAGCGAGCGAAGCAGCGAGCGCGAUCGCGAUCGCGCGCGCGCUCUUGCGGGGGGAGGGGGACCCUCUUUAUGUAGCACAUAGACGUUGCCUGGCGUUCGUUCGUUGCCGCUCGCUCGGCGUGUGACGCUCAAAUUACCUCCGUCCUCCCUGGUACGUCUCCCCCUCGCUUUCCCCCCUCGCGUUGGUCCCUCGUCCC